CCGUAACCCUGCCCUUGACCCCAGGCCCGGCCCAACCCCGACUCUGAGGGCUCGGCGGAGCCACGGCGACGCCUGCGCCUGCGCAACCCUCUGCAGCAGUAGGUGCCCAGCCGGCCGUAGGAUUCGUGCGCCUUCCGCAGCUCGGAGCCGGACAAAUUCCUGGGCAGAGAUUCCCAUGGCUCCUACUUCUCUUACAUGUGGAUGCACUGAGUGGUGAGAUGGCUGCUUGGGGUGAGUCCAGCUGGGACCUUAAGCGGGCAGUUGACACGAGGACUCCUCUGGCAAGUGGCAGAAAUCCUGGACCGCACAAUCUCCAGGAAGAAGAAACAUACAGAGAUGGGCAUCGCCCACCUGCUGGUAGAGGGAGUCUACACUGCGGCCUUCCCACUGCGUGAGGAAGAGAUGUCCCAAGCUCAGAUCUCUCCCAGGCCUGACAGCAUAGCAGCAGUGGCUGGGGCAUCCGGAGAGCACUCUCAAACCUCCCUGCAGCUCUCCCUCCUUUUGUCCUCCUAGGGCCUCUUUGAACUGCCUGGGUACCAGGUACCCGGUUCAGAUCUCAACUCUUGCCAAUUGCUGUACCCAUACUGGGCUUGCUGGGGAUACUGGCACAAGUACCAGCCCCUGGACCAGCCUUUGGACAAAGUAUGAGAGUACUUUGGGGUGAAGGUGGUCAUCCACUUUGCCUGGCUAGAUGAGUCUGGCGCUGGGGUGGGGACUGGGAGUGGGGCUUGAGUGCAGAGAUGGGGGUUCAUGAGCUUUCUCUCACCCUUCAGGUUUCUACAUGGCCUGUCUGCUGCCUGUGACCCUGGUGGGCACCCUGCUCUUUAUCUCUAGCCUUGUCACCGUGGGGACCAACACACUAGUGUGGGUGGCUGUGGAAGGGUUGGGGGAUGGGCUGGGUGGGCUAGGUUGUCUGCCUGGUUGAGGAUAGGCCCUCCCAGGAUAGGCACCCUCUGCUCACAGACAGGAGAUCUGUGCCAGUGGGGGUGCCACUCUGUGAUACCUGUGCCACGUGGAAUAUUUCUGGGAUCUGCCCCAUGGCCAAGGUGAGCCAAGGAAAGGGGCAAAAAAACCAGGUAGGUAUUUUGGACCCAACCUGGGCCUGGAUGCUGGCCCUACCUUGUGCCCUCUCUCCCCUCCUCACAGCUGAGCUGCCUCUUUGACCACCCAGGAACCGUGUUCUUCAGCAUCUUCAUGUCCUUCUGGGGCCAUGGCCUUCCUGGAGCACUGGAAGCAGGGAGUGCCACCUUGGCCCACCACUGGGACUGCAGUGACUUCCAGGACCAGGAGGCAAUGCCCAGUUCAGCCCCCCACCACUGGGACUGCAGCGACUUCCAGGACCAGGAGGUGAUGCCCAGUUCAGCCCUCCACCACUGGGACUGCAGCGACUUCCAGGACCAGGAGUUUGUCAAUUUCUAUUCUUCUCCCUUCUACAUGGCAUUCUUCAAAGGCAGGGGGCAGUGAUAUUUCAGAGACCAAGAAUGACUAUGUGGGAAGUGCAGAGUUGAGAGCACUGGACUCGAGUCUAACAGAUUGGAUUUGAACACUGGCUCCACCACUUACAAUUUGGGGAGCCUGGGCCAAAUUCUCCAGGAAACGGAAGGCUUGGUGGCAGAAGUGGCAGCUGGCAGGGCAGAGGGACACCCAGAUCGGGCAGGAGCUGCAGCACUGGGAGAAGGAAGGACUAUGAGCUCAUCAAGUGUCAGGGCCUGUUUGAUGAAUACCCAGGGAUGGAGGAGCAGUCGCUCAGCAGCGUGUGCCCUGGGCAUGAGUGGGGCCCCUGGGGGCCUGGCACAACAGGGGAGGUGGCCCCGGGCCUGACACUCCCUGCCUGCCAGAGCUGCAGUUUGGGUUCAUCACCAUCUUUGUGGGAGCCUUCCUGCUGGCACCCCUGUUCACUCUGCUCAACAACCGGGUAGAGAUUGGACUGGACGCCCACAAGUUCCUGUGCAAGUACCAGCGACCAAUGGCUGGGCGCGGCUGGACAUCUGGAUCUGACUGCUCCUGCUGGAGGCCAUGGUACACCUUGAGGUCACCGUGAAUGGGAGUGAGGCUUUCGUCUCGCCUUCAUCUCGGACUUCUGCCGCAUAUCCCGUAACAGUACGAACACCACACCCAGCUGCACGGAUUUGUGAAUUUCACGCGGGCACCCGCGCCCCAUGCCCACCUGGCCCAGAGCAAACACACUCUGCCCUUCAGGCUGGGGAGGAGGGGCGCGGCGGGAGGGGCGGGGCCCUGAGCUUUGGUGGGCGAGGCCUUCCUGGGAAGGGCGUGGCGCUGAGCCUUGGUUGGCGGGACGCUGAGGCGGGAGGGGCAGGGCUGUCUGGGAAGCACGGCGCUGAGCCUUGGUGAGGGAGGCCGGCCUGGGAGAGGGCGGGUGCUAAGCUUUGGUGGGCGGGGCCUGUCUGGGAGGGGCAGGUGCUGAGGAGGGAGGGGCGGGGCCUAGCUGGGAAGCCGGGAGCCGAAACUGGACGGGUGGGGUGGUGCCUGGCUGGGGUGCAGUGAGCUGAUUCUGCCCCGGACAAAUGCGCGGAGCCGGCUAGGGUACUGGCUGAACGGGCAGGGCCAGAUUCUAGGGAGAAGGAGGGGAGGAAAUGCGGGGUUCGGAGUCGAGAUCCGAGAGCCUCUCCAGACCCCGCAACCCAGAUACAAGGCCUCUCGCGACGUGGGGGUGAACCUCGCCCUCUUCUACUGGAAGCUGCUGGCUGUGCAUGUGCAUCUGGGUUUCAUUAUCGCCUUCGAGAAUGUAGUGUUCUUCUUCCUGUGCCCCAACGACCGGCUCGUGCCCGAUGUGCCAGCCCUGGCUACCAAGAUAACUGCGCGAGCGCUACCUGGCCAAGCAGGCGGUGGCAGACAACCGGGAGACGCUGUUUCAGUCAGCAAGGCAGGCGGACCCCGGCCCCACCCGCAACAUAAUGACCAUAAUGACCACGCCCCUUGGCCUGCCCUCAAGCUUCAGCUCAGCCCUCUCUAGUUCAGCACUCUCUAGCCCCGCCCCCUUAUUUGGCCUCAUCCAUUGGAGGGAUUGGCUGGACUCCCUGUAGUUUCCGCCUGUUCCCGCCCAUCAUUAAGCUCCGCCCCCGCCAAGCCCCCUUUUCUACUUUAUCUGCAAGCUGGGGUUGGGGGCUCUGCUCUGGAGUGCCAGCCUGCUCAGCCUGACCAAGCUGUGCUCUAUGUCCGCACAAGGGACGCAGGGGCGUCCAGGACGCAGGGGCGAGUGAGGCAGGGCUGCCCUUCCAGGACCCUAGGUUCCCCAGGAUGCUCCUCCUAUUGGGGUCCUCUGGCUUCCAGUUACGCAUCUGGGCAGUGUCCCAAGGCCGGUCCGGGAGUUGGAUGAGAGGAUUGGAGUUCCCUGGAGACCUCCAGACCUGCACUGCUACCCUUCCGUGUUCUUGCCUCCUGGCCUCUGUGCAAUGCUGACAAUAAACCUGUCUCUGCGUCCCAGA